UUGGUUAAAGCCAAAAUAGAGGCAUAUCACUGUUAAUGAUAGAACUGGGAAACCAUCCCUAACCAAG
rnacentral:tRNA from 1 species